rnacentral:rRNA from 1 species
GAUGAACGCUGGCGGCGUGCCUAACACAUGCAAGUCGAGCGAUCUUCUUCGGAAGAGAGCGGCGGACGGGUGAGUAACGCGUGGGUAACCUGCCCUGUACACACGGAUAGCAUACCGAAAGGUAUGCUAAUACGGGAUAAUAUGCUUUUAUCGCAUGGUAGAAGUAUCAAAGCUCCGGCGGUAUAGGAUGGACCCGCGUCUGAUUAGCUAGUUGGUAAGGUAACGGCUUACCAAGGCGACGAUCAGUAGCCGACCUGAGAGGGUGAUCGGCCACAUUGGAACUGAGACACGGUCCAAACUCCUACGGGAGGCAGCAGUGGGGAAUAUUGCACAAUGGGCGAAAGCCUGAUGCAGCAACGCCGCGUGAGCGAUGAAGGCCUUCGGGUCGUAAAGCUCUGUCCUCAAGGAAGAUAAUGACGGUACUUGAGGAGGAAGCCCCGGCUAACUACGUGCCAGCCGCCGCGGUAA